GGCUCCAUAGUGUCACGGUCAGCACAUCUGCUUUACAUGCAAAAGGUCCUGGGUUCCCCAAGUAGAGCCA
rnacentral:tRNA from 1 species